GGUGUUAAUGAUUAAUAAAUGAGAAAAGAAGAAUUUUAAAUGUUCUCAGGGAUCUAUCUGUGUGACCAAGAUAUCUAUACAUUAGAAGAACAAGACUCUCUAAGGACUGGAAGGAAGAAGAGAACAUGAGAGAAGUCUUUGGAGCAGACAGGAGAGUUCAGUUGUGAAAAGCAAGGAAUCCAUGUCCUCCAUUGCUGGGGAUCUCCAAGUCACUCGCUGGUUUUUGAUGACCUGGGUCCAGGUGCCAUCUGGAAAUGGAAGAGAAUAUUUACAAAGAAAAUGCAUUCUUCAGGAUUUCUCCCCAGAAACACCUCCAAUCCCAGUGAAACACUUUGACAUGCUAUGUUGGCAAGUGGCCAAAGCCUCAAUAAAGGAUACGUUUGUAAAAAUAAGUCUGACUAGAAUGUUACCAGGGAAAGUAAAGAAGGUAGCAGGGCUGCUUCCUCAGCACACAGUGCAGCAGCAAAGAAGGAAGCUCUGGUCCUCACCAUGGACACUGCCACCCAAGCAUCCCAGGCCACGGUGUCUUCCCAGGAGGGUCACCAGGAGAAGGAAGCUAUGGCCCUCUAGAUGUCCUCGUUCUUUUCAGGUGUCCCCAGGCCACGGUAUAUCCCAGGUUGUCUCUGCACUCUGAGGAGUGUUCCUUGCUGUGGAAUCAGCCUGAACUUUGCAUCUGUACAGCACACAGGGGAAGCUGAGAAAACAAAUCUGACAGUUUCUUGGACUUUUUCUUAAUUUUGCAGUACUGCGUUCUCAUGGGUGUCCAUCCACAAGGAAGUCACCAGAUCACAGUAUGCACCCUGGCCUGAGUAAAGGGAUAUGUGGAGGAAAUGAGCUUCCUGCUCCUCACAAAGCUGAUUCCACAUGGGUGGCAUUCGUACCACAUCAGUUGCCUCUUCUGGGGAUUUCCACUUAGUACUCAAAGGAAGGAGAUGUAAACUUACUUUCUCAGCGCAGAUGCACAUUACAGCAGCUGUUCUCCAAUCCUUCUGGCUAGCUGUCCUCUUUGGAACAGGCUGCUGUGUGCUUGGAUCAUGCACAACCAUCUCUGAUUAUUCCUUAGGACGCUGGGGGUCUCACAUCAACCUACACAUGCUUUUCUACUCUGCAUCAUUCAAAAUCAAGAAGAUAGUUCCUAAGUCUGUCAAUUUACACCCGUGUUAAAUUCCUCGGGAAGAUGGUGAUGUUGACCUAGAAAAUGAGGUCGCUCCUUUACAUAUUGCUCUGAUUUUUAGCAGUUGUUGUGUUUUGCACACUCUGCCAUCUGAGAGACUUUCUCGGUGUCCAGAGGCUGCAGAGGUGUUAAUCUGUUGUUCCAACUUAACUUUUCCCUUCAUUUUCAUUGAGCCAUAGUGGCCCUGAGGUUAGCAACUGUAGCUCCGACCCACCGAAAUCCUGCAGGUGUCCUCUAGGUGAGCAGAGUGUCCCUGCCUCCAGGGGACUGGUGGCCGCGCUGUGGGAGUGGAGCAGAACAGGUGAGCCUGGAGGAGAAAGGGGGCUGGGGAGCCUUCAGGAGAAAGGGCAGAGCCGUGUGCGCGGAAGCUUGGCCCACAGUUUCCACUGCAGGACAGAUCAAGCACCUUUCAGAAACCUACAACCUGGCUUCUGUCCACCAGGUAUCUCCUAUGGGCAACACAAACAGGGGACCCGGGACCCCUGAAGCCACACCUGGAAAGGGCAAGUGGCCUCCCAGGCUGCAUAAAGUCAAUCCAGGGUGCUGAAGUGGGAGAAAGGACUGCGUUCCAGGUCGUGAUUUCUGAGUUCUAAUUCCGCUGCACCCUGGCCCAAGCCUGUGUGGUUAGGCCAUGGGACUUAACACCUCUGAGCUGUAGUUUCCCAUCUGCGCCAGGCGGUGGCAGUGCUGUCCUGGUUCCCGCCGUAUGGGAGGCGAGGAGCUGGUGCUUUCAGGGUUGGAAAGCGCUCUGGGGCUCUGCAGCACUGCCACCCUCUGGGCAUGGAUCCUGCUCCCCUCUCCAUAGCUCUGUAUUCAGCUUGUGAUCACUGCAGCCAUGAUGUAAUUCCACAUAGGUACUCGCCCAUACUUCAAUAUACCCCACAUUGUUUGGAGAACCAUGCAGUAAAUGCCCUCAUUUGCCGGGCUGGGAUGUGGCUCAGUGACUGAGCGCUUGCCUCAAACAUAUGAGGCCCUGGGUUCGAUCCUCAGCACAUAAAAAGAAAAUAAAAAUUAAAAAUGAAUGCCCUCAUUUGCUAUUCCCCCUUUCAAGACUUAAACCUUUCUUUCAAGCUUUGGAUCUGAGAUUUUUCAGUGUCCGAUACAGGUGGGUUUGGUUUUUCCUUCAUCUAAGACUGGGCCCUGCAAUAUGGUGGCGCCAGAAGCUGAUAGGCAUGAGGUGGUGUUUACACAUGAUGUUGAGGCUGGGACAAAGUUAUGUCUAGGAAUAGUGACUGAGCCUGAACCAAAAUG